UCCAGACUCCUACGGGAGGCAGCAGUGAGGAAUAUUGGUCAAUGGGCGGGAGCCUGAACCAGCCAAGUCGCGUGAGGGAAUAAGGCCCUACGGGUCGUAAACCUCUUUUGCCGGGGAGCAAGGGCGGGGACGUGUCCCGGCCCGGAGAGUACCCGGAGAAAAAGCAUCGGCUAACUCCGUGCCAGCAGCCGCGGUAAUACGGAGGAUGCGAGCGUUAUCCGGAUUUAUUGGGUUUAAAGGGUGCGUAGGCGGUUUGAUAAGUUAGAGGUGAAAUGUCGGGGCUCAACCCCGAAACUGCCUCUAAUACUGUUGGACUAGAGAAUAGUUGCGGUAGGCGGAAUGUAUGGUGUAGCGGUGAAAUGCUUAGAGAUCAUACAGAACACCGAUUGCGAAGGCAGCUUACCAAACUAUAUCUGACGUUGAGGCACGAAAGCGUGGGUAGCAAACAGGAUUAGAUACCCCCGUA
rnacentral:rRNA from 1 species